CCUACGGGAGGCAGCAGUAGGGAAUAUUGGUCAAUGGGCGAGAGCCUGACCCAGCCAUGCCGCGUGCAGGAAGACGGCGUUUGCGUUGUAAACUGCUUUUAUCUGGGAAGAAAAAGCCCCUGCGAGGGAAAUUGCCGGUACCAGAAGAAUAAGCACCGGCUAAUUCCGUGCCAGCAGCCGCGGUAAUACGGAGGGUGCAGGCGUUGUCCGGAUUUAUUGGGUUUAAAGGGUGCGUAGGCGGUUGAUUAAGUCAGCGGUGAAAGUUCUCGGCUCAACCGAGAGACUGCCGUUGAUACUGGUUAGCUUGAGUUAUGGAGGGGUACAUGGAAUUUAUGGUGUAGCGGUGAAAUGCAUAGAUACCAUAAGGAACACCGAUAGCGAAGGCAUUGUACUGGCCAUAAACUGACGCUAAGGCACGAAAGCGUGGGUAGCGAACAGGAUUAGAUACCCUGGUAGUCCACGCCGUAAACGAUGAUCACUCGCUUUACAUUACGUAGUAAUUUGAGGCCAAGCGAAAGCGUUAAGUGAUCCACCUGGGGAGUACGCCGGCAACGGUGAAACUCAAAUGAAUUGACGGA
rnacentral:rRNA from 1 species